rnacentral:lncRNA from 1 species
UUGCUCUGCCGUUCUCUCAAUGCACCUGUGUUUCAACUGUUACCUGGUCUUUGUUCAAAUGAAUCACUUGCUGCCCAUUGAUAGGCAGUUGGUUCAAUGGGAAAAAGCAAUGCUUUUUCUUCCUUCAGAUUCCUAUUUUGACAGCAGCAAAAUGAAAACAAAAUUGUCUUCAAUUUCUGCCAUCAUUUACUGCCACAUGACUUUCUCCACCAUUUACUACAUGGGUUCCAUGAAAAUUGCAUGAUUCUUUAACCAGAGUCUGAACGGCUCUCACAUUUCCCACAUUUCCCCCAACGAUUUAAGACUUCGUCGCCCGACUUCUAACUGGACUCUCAUCUCAAAUUCACAUCUCAAAUUCAGGGGUUCACACGGACUUAUUGAUUGCAGAAUUCUGAACAAAGCGGUUUUGUCAGAAUUCUGUUUUAGGAUAAUGGGCUUUAUUGAUUGCAAUAAGUGGGAAAGCGGUUUUCUCAAAAUUCUGUUUUAGGACAAAGAGUCAAGUCAACCAUGUUUCGUCAAUCUUGAGAUAUCAUACAAGCAUAUAUAUAUGUACUUAAUCAGUUUUGCAUGUAUGCUUACUUUUGUGCUUUACAUUUUUCCUAAAGAGUUUCCCUUGUUCGUCUUGAUCAUUACCGUAGCUAACAUGGUUGAAGCAAGGUGCUGCUUCAAACUCCUCCAUGCAAUUAUUGUGGUGCUUUUACUACACAUGAGCAGUCCUUGCGUUGGAUGUAGCGAGAGGGACAGGCAAGCACUCCUUGCACUCAAACAAGGCCUCGUGGGUGACGACGGCGAUCGCCUCCUUUCAUGGGGAAGAGAUGCCCAAAACAAAGAUUGUUGCCAAUGGGACGGAGUCUACUGCAACAACCAAACUGGUCAUGUUGUUAAGCUUGAUCUUGGAGACCAAUCUUUGCAAGGUAAGAUUAGUCCUAAACUCGUUCACUUGCAGCAUUUGGAGUAUUUGAACCUUAGUUUCAAUAAUUUCAAUUGGAGCAAAAUUCCAGAUUUCAUUGGAUCUAUGAGCAAUUUAAGACACCUCGACCUCUCUUCUGCUAAUUUUGGAGGUGAAAUUCCAUAUCAACUUGAAAACCUCACACACUUACAGUAUCUCGAUCUCAGCUUUAAUGGAUAUUCUGUUAUCCAUGCAAAAAACCUCAAUUGGCUCCCUAAUCGUUCAGGUCUGAAACACUUGGACCUAACUUACACUAAUCUCAGUGAUGUUGUUGGUUGGCUGGAAGCAGUUAAUACGCUUCCUAAAUUAAGAAACUUGAUAUUACAUGGGUGUAAUCUUCCUCCUCCAAUUAUAUCCUCUGUUUCUGUUUUGAACUCUUCUAAAUCUCUUAUUCGUGUCGAUCUCUCCUUCAACAAUCUUGACUCUUCAAUCUUCCAAUGGUUGUCCGGUACUCAUACCAACCUUGUUUAUCUUGAUCUAUCUGAGAACAAUUUCAAUGGUUCCUCAAUUCCUGAUUAUUUCGGAAACAUGAGCUCUCUUGCAUAUCUUAGUCUCUAUUAUAACAAACUUGAAGGAGGGAUCCCGAAUUCCUUUGCCAAGUUAUGUAGGCUGCGAGAGUUGGACCUUGGGCUUAAUAGUCUUAGUGGACAACUUUCAGACUUCAUUGAAACAUUGUCCAAAUGCGCUCAAAAGACAUUGGAGAGUUUGUAUAUCUCGGAUAAUCCUAACAUUUCGGGUUCAUUGCCUGAUCUUACGAACUUCUUAUCAUUGAAACACUUGUUUCUCGAGAGCAAUAACUUAAGUGGAAGAAUACCUGAAAGUAUUGGACAGAUGUCCAAGCUGGAGACUAUUGGUUUUGGUUGGAAUUCUUUGGAAGGAGUGAUUUCAGAAACUCAUUUUUCAAAACUCUCCAAAUUAAGUUCUUUGAGUUUAUCAUCUGACUCACUACUUUUGAACUUCAGUUUUGAUUGGAUUCCUCCCUUCCAAUUGCAAGACAUAUUCUUGAAGUCCUGUAAGAUGCGGCCGUCGUCUUUCCCAAAAUGGCUUCAAACUCAAAAAAAUUAUACAUGGCUUGAUAUUUCUGAUGCUGGAAUUUCUGAUACCAUUCCAAGUUGGUUUUGGGAUUUGUCACAAAAAUUAGAGGGUAUGGAUAUCUCUCACAAUCAAAUGAGAGGAACAGUUGGAAAUAUUAGAUUGGAGUUUGCACCGCGCCUAAAUUUGAGUUGGAAUCAAUUGAAUGGUCCAAUCCCUUCAAUUCUAUCAAAAGCUUCAGUUCUAGAUCUCUCCCAUAAUAACUUUUCUGGGGCAGCUUCUUUUUUGUGUGCAACCGAGGAUAGUAAUUUAACCUUUCUUGAUCUCUCAAGCAAUCAUGUAUCUGGAGAACUUCCUGAUUGUUGGAUCCAUUUUAAAAAAUUAGUCUUCCUUGAUUUCAGCAAUAACUAUUUAUUUGGAAAAAUUCCCACCACGAUGGGGCACUUGUUUAGUAUCGACACACUAAGACUAAGUAACAACAGAUUUGUGGGAGACUUGCCUUCACAAUUGAAGAAUUGUACAAAGUUGACACUUUUUGAUCUUGGGGAAAAUAACUUAUCAUGCUCAAUACCUGAAUGGUUAGGGGCUAGUCUUCCGAAUUUGACUAUCUUAAUCCUUCGAGGUAAUCAGUUCUAUAAAAGCAUCCCGCCCCAAUUAUGCCAUCUGACAAGUGUUCAAAUUUUGGAUUUGUCGAUGAACAACAUCUCUGGAACUAUACCCAAAUGUCUCAACAAUUUGAUUGUUUUGGCUCAUAAAGGAAAUUCAAGUCGAAUUAUCCAACAUUCAUAUAUGACUCAGCUGGGAGAAACAAGAUAUUUUUGGCAUUAUGAGGAGGAAGCAUCUUUAACAUGGAAAGGGGUAAGUUCUAAAUACAAAAGUACUCUGGGACUUGUAAAGAGUAUUGAUCUCUCAAGCAAUAAGUUGACCGGGGAGAUUCCUAGUGAAAUCACUGAUCUUGUUGGUUUGGUUUCUUUAAAUCUGUCAAGAAACCAAUUAACAGGUCAGAUACCUCCAAGGAUUGGAAUGCUGCAGGAGCUAGAUUUCCUUUGAUUUAUCAAGAAACCAGAUUAAUGGCAGAAUUCCAAACAGUCUAUCUCAGAUAGAUCGUAUUGGUUACUUGGACUUGUCAGAAAACAACUUGUCUGGAAAAAUUCCAACAGGCACCCAGCUCCAAAGCUUUGGUCCAUCUUCUUAUGGUGGAAAUCCUCUACUUUGUGGACUGCCACUCCUAAGGACAUGCAAUGAGGAGGAAAAAGUUCCAGGACAAACUAUGUUGGUGAAUCAAGAUGAUAAAGAUGGGCUCAUGUCGCAAGGAUUUUACAUCAGCUUGGGGCUUGGAUUUGUUGUUGGAUUUUGGGGAGUUUUUGGCACUCUUCUAUUCAACAGGUCAUGCAGAUAUACAUACUUCAAUUUCUGGACUUGUUUCACAGAUUGGUUGUACGUGAAGGCUGAAAUCAUCAGGCAAAGGAUGCCUAAUACUAGAUAAAUGGUAAUUACUACUAUCUCUCUCACAUACUAUUUUUAAAAUUCAAUGAUGCAAGUUAGUUGUUCUUUAUCCCGAAAUGCAUGUAGAUAUUAUAUGACAUAAUUAAUAUUUGUUUAAAAGGAAAUAUGAACUUUCUUUCUUUUGCUAUAUAAAAGGAACAUGCAUGCAUGAUUUUGUUCACUGGUUAUAAUUAUGUUUCCCUUCGUUUUUAGCGCAGGCACCUUUGAGAUGACAUUCUUUUCCUUCAGUUGAAGAUGGACGAGACGAAGGACUGCUUUUUGUACUAGCAUUCGAGUACUUGAGUGAUGAUGAUAAGGAAUCUCACUGAAAUAAGGGAACCAUUUAUUUUAUAGUAAAUGAGUUGCACCGUUAUUUGUAAGAACUUAAUGGGAACUUCACCCCUAAUGAAGUAUUUGGUAUGAUGUUCUUGUGUACCUCAUGGUUUUUUCUGAUUCGAGCAUGUUAUCUCAAUGUAGGGAAUGCAAACACUUAAUUGCCUUUUACUAUAUUGCUCGUGUGGAUUAAAAAAAAGAGGAAGAAUUUGAGUUAAGUGAAUCAAUCACAGAAAUGAAAGUGUUGUCAAUCUGGAAAAUGCACUUUAUUAACGUUAUUCUUUCCGUCUGUGUAAGAAAGAAAAUACUUACUUUGAAAGUCCAGUAUUUUUUAAAGUUUUUUUGUUUUGUUUUUUGUUUUUAAAGGUUCUCUUCUCUGUAUGAACACGAAAAAAGAAGUAAAACAUUUGUAAGCCCCCACCAUGGGGCUCGAACCCAUGACCACAAAGAGGCUUUACUGAUUUCUAUGCCUCAGUGACAAAGGGUCAAAACGAAAUUUUCUAAACUGUAGUGGAUAGGUUUGAAAUAAUUUUAAAAAGAAGGGUUAAAAGUGUAAAAACCGGGUAGAAUUCGGCAAGUAGAAGUCCAAAUUACAUUAAAUCACAAACCAAAGGCAAAAAGCACAAAAAAUUCAUGGUAAAGAAGUUGAAACACAUGAGCAAAAGGUAAAAAUUGAAGUACCAGACCGAGAUAGGCGAAGCCACGCCGAGAGUCGAGGCCGGAGCUUGCGGAUCAAGCGGUGGUCUAUUUUGGUUAAUUGGAGUGGGUGAUCCAAGAGGGAGUUGAAGUAGAAGAACAGAGGCGCUGUAAAUUUCCAUUUCCUGCUUUAUUUAUCUCUUUUAUAAAGAGAAAAAGAUGGAGAGAUGGAUUCUCUUUUACUUUCUUGAACCUUCAGGUCGUUAAUAAGAAUAGAAUAAUAGAAAAACAGAUUCUACAAUUAAAGGAAUAAUGAGAAUCAUAUUUUGUGGAACAUUAAUUAUUAUGUAUAAAUGAUAUUUUAUAAUACAUUAAUUAUUAUGUAUACAUGAUUAAUAUGAGUAUUUUGUUUUGUUUUAUUGUAUUAUGAUAUUAAAGUAUCGAGUAUGAAUUAAUUUUUUAUAUAAUUAUAUUAUAAUUUUAUUAUAAUUUAUUAUUAUUUUAAUUGACAUGUCCUAGCCUUGUCUAUGUCCGUGUCCUAAUUUUUUGACAUUUUCCGUGUUGCCAUGUUGCGUUUUCUUGUCCCCAUACCCGUGUCCGUGCAACAUAAAUUUAUAGACAUAUUUCAACUAAAGUUGCUAGGUUAUUUUUUAAAAAAAAAUAAAAAAUAAAAAACCGGUGUCAACCACGUUGCAAUACAAGAGUUGAGUUACAUCAAUACAAUCCAAACCUGAAACCCUUGAACACCCCGACUCGUAAACUUCCCAAGAACUCUUCUCUCUCCCAAAAGUUUUUUAUUUUAUUUUUCCUCUAGCUUUCCACUAGAACUCUAUCUCUCCCCAGAAGUUUUUUUUUUCUCUCUUGCUCUGCCGUUCUCUCAAUGCACCUGUGUUUCAACUGUUACCUGGUCUUUGUUCAAAUGAAUCACUUGCUGCCCAUUGAUAGGCAGUUGGUUCAAUGGGAAAAAGCAAUGCUUUUUCUUCCUUCAGAUUCCUAUUUUGGCAGCAGCAAAAUGAAAACAAAAUUGUCUUCAAUUUCUGCCAUCAUUUACUGCCACAUGACUUUCUCCACCAUUUACUACAUGGGUCCCAUUAAAAUUGC